rnacentral:tRNA from 1 species
AGAAAGUUAGUCUAAACUAAGAUAGUUGAUUUCGGCUCAACAGAUCACAACUUAACCUUGUGACUUUCUU